UACGAAGGGUGCAAGCGUUAAUCGGAAUUACUGGGCGUAAAGCGUGCGUAGGCGGUGAUUUAAGUCUGGUGUGAAAUCUCCCGGCUCAACUGGGAGGGUGCGCCGGAUACUGAGGGGCUAGAGUGUGGGAGAGGAAAGUGGAAUUCCUGGUGUAGCGGUGAAAUGCGUAGAUAUCAGGAGGAACACCGGUGGUGUAAACGGCUUUCUGGACCAUAACUGACGCUGAGGCACGAAAAGCGUGGGUAGCAAACAGG
rnacentral:rRNA from 1 species